rnacentral:rRNA from 1 species
GAUGAACGCUGGCGGCGUGCCUAAUACAUGCAAGUCGAGCGAACGGACGAGAAGCUUGCUUCUCUGAUGUUAGCGGCGGACGGGUGAGUAACACGUGGAUAACCUACCUAUAAGACUGGGAUAACUUCGGGAAACCGGAGCUAAUACCGGAUGAUAUUUUGAACCGCAUGGUUCAAGAGUGAAAGACGGUCUUGCUGUCACUUAUAGAUGGAUCCGCGCUGCAUUAGCUAGUUGGUAAGGUAACGGCUUACCAAGGCAACGAUGCAUAGCCGACCUGAGAGGGUGAUCGGCCACACUGGAACUGAGACACGGUCCAGACUCCUACGGGAGGCAGCAGUAGGGAAUCUUCCGCAAUGGGCGAAAGCCUGACGGAGCAACGCCGCGUGAGUGAUGAAGGUCUUCGGAUCGUAAAACUCUGUUAUUAGGGAAGAACAUAUGUGUAAGUAACUGUGCACAUCGUGACGGUACCUAAUCAGAAAGCCACGGCUAACUACGUG